rnacentral:rRNA from 1 species
UGGGGAAUAUUGGACAAUGGGGGAAACCCUGAUCCAGCAAUGCCGCGUGAGUGAAGAAGGCCUUAGGGUUGUAAAGCUCUUUCGCCCGCGAAGAUAAUGACGGUAGCGGGAGAAGAAGCCCCGGCUAACUCCGUGCCAGCAGCCGCGGUAAUACGGAGGGGGCUAGCGUUGUUCGGAAUUACUGGGCGUAAAGCGUACGUAGGCGGAUGCGCAAGUUGGGGGUGAAAUCCCGGGGCUUAACCUCGGAAUUGCCCUCAAAACUGCACGUCUUGAGACCGAGAGAGGUAAGGUGAAUUCCUAGUGUAGAGGUGAAAUUCGUAGAUAUUAGGAAGAACACCAGUGGCGAAGGCGCCUUACUGGCUCGGUACUGACGCUGAGGUACGAAAGCGUGGGGAGCAAACA